UCCCAACUAGCCCACUUGGUGGAGCACAAGGCUUCUAACCUUGUGGUCAUGGGUUCAAACCCCACUGUUUGCAU
rnacentral:tRNA from 7 species